rnacentral:siRNA from 1 species
AGAAUCGGCUUACGAUUUUAGCCU